rnacentral:rRNA from 1 species
GACGAACGCUGGCGGCGUGCUUAACACAUGCAAGUCGAACGGAAAGGCCCUGCUUUUGUGGGGUGCUCGAGUGGCGAACGGGUGAGUAACACGUGAGUAACCUGCCCUUGACUUUGGGAUAACUUCAGGAAACUGGGGCUAAUACCGUAUAGGAUCUCCUGCUGCAUGGUGGGGGUGGGAAAGUUUCGGCGGGUGGGGAUGGACUCGCGGCUUAUCAGCUUGUUGGUGGGGUAGUGGCUUACCAAGGCUUUGACGGGUAGCCCGCCUGAGAGGGUGACCGGCCACAUUGGGACUGAGAUACGGACCAGACGCGUACGGGAGGCAGCAGUGGGGAAUAUUGCACAAUGGGCGGAAGCCUGAUGAAGCAACGCCGCGUUCGGGAUGACGGCCUUCGGGUUGUAAACCGCUUUCGCCUGUGACGAAGCGUGAGUGACGGUAAUGAAUAAAGAAGCACCGGCUAACUACGUG